AAUGUGCCGUGUUCCCAACCGACACCCAGUAUGAUGUAAAUCUGUGCAAGCCCCGGCCGAUGCCCUGCCUGAGUGUGAAGGGCACCGUCCAGACACCGAAGGCACACCCACUCCCCCGCUAACCCAGGCCAGGAGGUAGCCUGGCUCCUGUCAUGUUCACACAGCCCAGACCCUAGACAGAGGCGCGCUCGCUGGAAGGCCUGAGGCCAGUGCCCCAGGGGCCCUGGGAAAGGACAGGGCUUUCUUGGGCAAUGGAAGGCACCCAACCCACCUGUGCAGCCCAUGUGCUACUAGGGUACCAAGUGCCAGGCACAUGCAAGGUGCCCAAACCUGUUCACUCCUGUGACCUUCUCCUGAACCCAAGUGUCACAGUCAGCCUUGGAGAACCAGAGUACACAGCUGGGGAGGAGGCCACGGACAGGAAUGUCGGUGGACUCCCACGCGGCACUGGUGCUCUUCAGCACCCCGCGCACACCUGGGUCCCUGCACGGCUGCCACAAGCCAUGUUCGCUGAGCGUUGACGGGAUUUCCUGCAUCUCCUAGGACAGAAGCAUCUGUGAGUCCAAUGCGGAGCAAACACAGAACCAGACCAGCCCUGGGAACCUCCUGGUGGGGGCGGGGGGAGGGGGUAGUUCCAGCUCUGAGCCCUGGCCUGGGGCCCUCUGCACCCACUCACCUAAUGUGUCUACAACAGAACCUCCAUAGCCAGGGUCCCCUCCCCAGCAUGGAGAACCUCUCUACGGGGCCAUGGGGCCUCCCCCACCCCCAGGGCGGCAACAGUGUGAGUACUGGUGGGGCCAGACCUGAGGCGACACAGCCUCACCAGCCCUCCAAGACUUGCCGGCAGAGGUGGACCACGUGCAGGAAGGUGGGGCUCUGCUGUAUCACAGUCCCGUGCACCACACGGGGGCGUUGCCCACAUCACAGCAUGGAUGUCCCGGGGGAGGGGCGACCCCGCCCACAUCACAGUGCGGACUUCACACGGCCUCUCCCCCACGUCACGGUUUCAAAAUUGUUUUCAGUCACAAACACAAAAGAGCCUUUUGCUGCAGUCAGAGCACUGUGCCCAAGUGCCAGGAGGUCAGGGCACCGUUGGGAGCCAGGAGGACAGAGGAUACUCGAUGGCUUGACACAGUGAGGAAACAUCAGGGCACUGGGUUGUCAAGGCAGCCCCACCUGAUUCACUCCAGGACUUUGAACAAACUCUUCCCUUCUGUGGCCCUCACAUUCUGCAUUGGGAAAAUGAUGGCCUGUACAAGGUGAGAUUUUUUUUUUUACAUUAUUUCUUACUAAUUAUAUGUUACCGUUAGAAAAAAUGAAAUGGAUUUCAGUAAUGUUAAAAUUCACCCACCAUCCUACCAUUAGGUCCUACCAACAUUGACAUUUCUGUGAAUCCACAAAACUGAAUCUUUCUCGGUUCCUACAAGGCUGACCUGGUGUGGAGAACGGAACUGUGGCAGAAGCUGGUCAGGUAGGCCGUGGCCUCUGCCUGCCCCACCCCACCCCUCGGUCCCACUCUGGGAAAUGCUUGUGGGGGUGGAGGGUGAAGGUGGGUGGGGUGGGAUGGGGUGUGGAGAAGGGGUGAAAAGGAUAAGGGAGUA
rnacentral:lncRNA from 1 species